rnacentral:rRNA from 1 species
CCCCGUAACUUCGGGAGAAGGGGGGCCUCCGCUGGUGAUCAGACUUGCUUUGUGAGCUGGUGGGGGUCGCAGAGGCCAGGGGGAAGCGACUGUUUACUAAAAACACAGGUCCGUGCGAAGUCGUAAGACGAUGUAUACGGACUGACGCCUGCCCGGUGCUGGAACGUUAAGGGGACCGGUUAGCGGGACGUAAGUCCUGCGAGGCUGAGAACUUAAGCGCCAGUAAACGGCGGUGGUAACUAUAACCAUCCUAGGGUAGCGAAAUUCCUUGUCGGGUAAGUUCCGACCUGCACGAAUGGCGUAACGACUUCCCCGCUGUCUCAACCGCAGACCCGGCGAAAUUGCACUACGAGUAAAGAUGCUCGUUACGCGCAGCAGGACGGAAAGACCCCGGGACCUUCACUACAGCUUGACAUUGGCGUUUGGAACGUCUUGUGUAGGAUAGGUGGGAGACUGUGAAGCCGUCACGCUAGUGGUGGUGGAGUCAUUGGUGAAAUACCACUCUGGUCGUUUUGAACGUCUAACUUCGGUCCGUGAUCCGGAUCAGGGACAGUGUCUGGUGGGUAGUUUAACUGGGGCGGUUGCCUCCUAAAGAGUAACGGAGGCGCCCAAAGGUUCCCUCAGCCUGGUUGGUAAUCAGGUGUCGAGUGUAAGUGCACAAGGGAGCUUGACUGUGAGACCGACGGGUCGAGCAGGAGCGAAAGCUGGGACUAGUGAUCCGGCGGUGGCGUGUGGAAGCGCCGUCGCUCAACGGCUAAAAGGUACCCCGGGGAUAACAGGCUGAUCUUCCCCAAGAGUCCAUAUCGACGGGAUGGUUUGGCACCUCGAUGUCGGCUCGUCGCAUCCUGGGGCUGGAGUAGGUCCCAAGGGUUGGGCUGUUCGCCCAUUAAAGCGGUACGCGAGCUGGGUUUAGAACGUCGCGAGACAGUUCGGUCCCUAUCCGCUGCGCGCGCAGGAGACUUGAAAGGAGCUGUCCCUAGUACGAGAGGACCGGGACGGACGAACCUCUGGUGUGCCAGUUGUUCCGCCAGGAGCAUGGCUGGUUGGCUACGUUCGGAAGGGAUAACCGCUGAAAGCAUCUAAGCGGGAAGCUCGCCUUGAGAUGAGGUCUCCCACCACGUGAGUGGGUAAGGCCCCCGGGAGACGACCGGGUUGAUAGGCCGGAGGUGGAAGCACGGUAAGUGUGGAGCUGACCGGUACUAAUAGGCCGAGGACUUGACC